UUUUUUUUUUUGAACGUAAAGAGCACACAGAAAAUAACAGACAAGCAUGGGGCACUUCCCCUGCAAUGAUGGCCUGAUUGGUGUGAUCCACAGGCCACUAGCUAGGCUAGCCGCGAGCAAGCACCCAUCUCAUGCCCAUAUGACCACAUAUCUCCACUGCAUGCCACCAAGCAGCUGGUUAAGGGGCAGUUGCACCAAUGCCACCCAUCGUGUCGUGCUCUUUGAUCUCUCGUGUCCAAAUAGACCGCCGCAACUUAAAACUAUAUUCUUUUAAAUAAUAGAAAGAAUGUAUAUGCAUAACGGCAAUGCACAUGCACCUGUCUAAUUGUUUUCUUUUUUCAUGAGUGUUUUAGUUGUAGCCAGUCGUUUCAGAUAUUGGUGUAGCACAGUGUUUAUCCAUUCCGUGGUGUGAGUCCAGUCGUUCUACUGGCUUUCAGAAAAUUUUCCACUAUAUUUCCAAGAGAAGAACUGAAAGUGAACAUGGCACUAGUUGAAUUCCCCUCAUUACACUGAUAACGUUAAAAUCUGUCGAAAAUGUGACUGCCAUGAACACCACAGCCAUGGUCGACAUCUCUCGACGCAUCCGGCUGUGGUCGACAUCUCUCGACGCAUCCGGGUCGAUGACUCAACAACUCCACAUCUACAUGCAUCCAGUCAAGAUAAGCUGGAAGUCAAAUCUAAUGACCACGGGAUGUAGAUGUACUCCCUCCGUUCUAAAUUGGAGUCAUUUCAUAUAUUUUGCUAAAUUUUGCUAAGUACCUAAAUAAUUAGGUGUUGGUACUUAUAUCUAGAUACAUAAAUAAAAGUUAUGAAUCUAAAAGUAUUAAAAUGAUCUAUAAUUUGAAAUGGAGGAAGUACCGGUAAUAUUUGUGUGGCCACUUCACUACCAUUAGCGGACGAAGGACCCUGGAACCAUCCGAGAGCAAGGAGGGGACAGGGACACGGGUGAUAACUGGUAAGCCCUCCGUCACCUGCCGCCCCACCCCAUCCGGGCAUCCGGCCUGGGCACAGGUGCCCUCCCCGUCCCUUUCCCCCGCCGCUACGCCGCGGCCGCCGUGGCGCGUCUCCAGCAGGCGGCUUCACGAAGUCGCCCAAGCCUCGCCAAGCUGCCGGCCCGCC
rnacentral:lncRNA from 1 species